UAUCCCGAAGCCAUGAAACUGUUGUCAGAAGAAAUUGAUACACACUACUGAGGGGAGAAAAAGGGCUGCUGCUGCUAGGGAGGAUUUGACUUGAACAGGGCUUUGAAUUUUCAGCACUUCAAAUGGAAAUUUCCCUUUUUGAAGUGAAUCCAUUUUCAUCUCUACUCCUUUCUUCAAACUACCUGAGUGAGGACUUAGAGGGUUUGUUUGUGGGAGCAUUAGUUCCUGCCACAGCUCUUGUCUGCAAGAGAUUUCCAUCACCAUACCAGGUGCCUCACCUCUCACAGGAACCCUGGAGAAAGGUCCUCCUGCCAAGUGGAGUUGAUGAACCUGGCUUGAGAUUGUCAAUGCAGCAGGCCUUUCCCUGAAGCCGUGUCUCUGGAGGACCUGGGAACAAUGUGGCAGGGGUUCUGCCCUCCUGUGAUGGUGAUCUGAGCACUGCCUCCUUGGCCUUUCCACUGGGAGCAACCUUAAAUCCCUCACCCAUGGCAUUGCGGAGACCCACCACAGGCCCACUACAGGAAUUAACUAGAGGCCCCCACAGAGUUGCAUCUGACCCUGGUGCACAUCUGAGCUGCCCACUGUGCCGUGGUUUCUUCUUUUGAGCAUGCCUGUGCACUUCCUCUUGACAGCUCAGCUUGGGAUGCCCCUCUAUCCCUGUCCUAAGUGAGGAGCCAGCAUCUCACCAGCCACGAGUCCAGUGGAAAAUGGGAUGCAAUGUGUCACCUGGAGCAAGGAAAAACAAAGGGUCCUUCCCAGAGUUGGGAGAUACUCAAUUUUACUUUCUCUCUGGGCUGAGGAAGCAGUUGACCUGCUGAGCACAUCAGUGCUGGUCUUUCAGUUGCAUUGCUGGGAAGUUUGCAGUAGGUGUUGCUGCAAGGCUCUGCUAAGAGAGGUCUUCCCAUGACUAUGAAAAGGAGAAGAACUUGUAGCUCAUCCAGUGAGAAGCCACGGUGGAAUGAAUGGCUGUUACCACCACCCUCCCUAUGCACAGCCUUCUAGAGACACCACCCAACCAUCUUGAUGACUUUUAAAGCCAGGCUGGCCGAGCAGCUGCUGGAUUACCAUCAUAUGGAUAUGUUUCAGCAGCCAAGCUAAGUACAUCCCCCUAGGCCCUCAGCACCCAACUAGCUCUGGACAAAGAAGAUUUGCCUAUGUAAACAUGAGCAUAUCCUAGGUGCUCCAGAUCAAAUCAUAAAGUAUUCCCCUUCCUUCACAGAUAUCUAAGGCCUAAUGUCUAAAAAAAAAAAAAGCAGAUCAAACAUGUAAAUUUGAACAGAGAUUAAUUAUACACUUGCAACUGAAUAA
rnacentral:lncRNA from 1 species